rnacentral:lncRNA from 1 species
AUUUACCUUUCUUCCUGGUUAGAGCCCAGAUGUGAACCCAAUCAAGUGCCCUCCUGAUGCCUUCUGCCCUGUGGGCAGCACUGAGCCCCAGUACUGCAUGGAGAUCUUCCUGUACAAGGUGGGCAGCUCCUGCCAGCUGACGCCACUGGUGAUCGUCCUCCUGGCCCUCUUCUCAGCAGGCGCAAUUCUUAUAAUCUUUGUACUAAUUCUGAGAAGAAGGCAAGAACACAGCACAAAGUCUUUGAAGUCCCUGCUGCUACCACAAGGAUCAGAGCAGCACACAACGUAUGGAGUGAUGGAGCACACAGAGCCGGUGUAUGCUGGCUGGUAGAGGGGGAAAGGCAACCUGCAAGCACUGUGUUCCCUUUUCUGUAGGGUAAUGCACGCGUGUGUAUAUGUGAAAGAAGUUUGACCGUCACCAACCUAUUUCCGUAUUGCUAAAAUAAGCACAGAGAAAUGAAAUGCAAGUCAUUUUUCAGCUGUGCCUUUCUGUGCUGACC